UACGACUACAUAUCAGGCAUAUCAAUAAGCGGAGGAAAAGAAACUAACUAGGAUUCCCUCAGUAACGGCGAGUGAAGCGGGAAGAGCUCAAAUUUGAAAUCUUCAAGGUUCUACCUUGACGAAUUGUAGUUUAAAGAAGUGUUUUCUGUUGGAGUUUUGGUAAAAGUUCUUUGGAAUAGGACAUCAUAGAGGGUGAGAAUCCCGUAUUUGACCAUUAUUUCCAGCUUUGUGAUACACUUUCAAAGAGUCGGAUUGUUUGGGAAUGCAGUCCAAAAUGGGUGGUAAAUUUCAUCUAAAGCUAAAUAUUGGCGAGAGACCGAUAGCGAACAAGUACCGCGAGGGAAAGAUGAAAAGAACUUUGAAAAGAGAGUUAAACAGUACGUGAAAUUGUCAAAAGGGAAGCGUUUGACACCAGUGUUGUUUUCUCGAAAAUCAAUUAAAAAAAGUUGGAUUUUGUGUUGUAUUGACCUUAACAGCUUGCUUCACUCUUUUCCAGCUUUUUUUAAUGCACUUUUCGUUUAACAAGUCAACAUCAGUUUCUUUUGUUGUAAAAGGGUCAUUGGAAGGUGGCUUUCUCUUCGGAGAAAGUGUUUAUAGCCUUUGAGCCUCUGCAAUCGGAGAGACUGAGGUCUGCAGCGUAGAUCCUUCGGGGUUAGAUACAUUUGUGCUAAGCUACAGCUGUUCAUAGACAACUUGUUGACUAUGUUUAGUCUUGUGACUUACCCGCUUAUGCUAUUUUACCUACGCUUAGGAUGUUGAGCGCAUGUCUCUCUCU
rnacentral:rRNA from 1 species